AUACGUAGGUGGCAAGCGUUGUCCGGAAUUACUGGGUGUAAAGGGAGCGUAGGCGGGAAUGCAAGUUGAAUGUUUAAACUAUCGGCUCAACCGGUAGUCGCGUUCAAAACUGUAUUUCUUGAGUGAAGUAGAGGCAAGCGGAAUUCCUAGUGUAGCGGUGAAAUGCGUAGAUAUUAGGAGGAACAUCAGUGGCGAAGGCGGCUUGCUGGGCUUUUACUGACGCUGAGGCUCGAAAGCGUGGGUAGC
rnacentral:rRNA from 1 species